rnacentral:rRNA from 1 species
GACGAACGCUGGCGGCGUGCUUAACACAUGCAAGUCGAACGGAAAGGCCCCCUUGUGGGGUACUCGAGUGGCGAACGGGUGAGUAACACGUGAGUAACCUACCCUUGACUUUGGGAUAACUUCAGGAAACUGGGGCUAAUACCGGAUAGGAGCUCCUGCUGCAUGGUGGGGGUUGGAAAGUUUCGGCGGUUUGGGAUGGACUCGCGGCUUAUCAGCUUGUUGGUGGGGUAGUGGCUCACCAAGGCUUUGACGGGUAGCCGGCCUGAGAGGGUGACCGGCCACAUUGGGACUGAGAUACGGCACAGAAUCCUACGGGAGGCAGCAGUGGGGAAUAUUGCACAAUGGGAGGAAGCCUGAUGCAGCACCGCCGCGUGCGGGAUGACGGCCUUCGGGUUGUAAACCGCUUUCGCCUGUGACGAAGCGUGAGUGACGGUAAUGGGUAAAGAAGCACCGGCUAACUACGUG